AGUGAACGCUGGCGGUAGGCCUAACACAUGCAAGUCGAACGGCAGCACAGUAAUAGCUUGCUCUUACGGGUGGCGAGUGGCGGACGGGUGCGGAAUACAUCGGAAUCUACUUUUUCGUGGGGGAUAACGUAGGGAAACUUACGCUAAUACCGCAUACGACCUACGGGUGAAAGCAGGGGAUCUUCGGCCCUCGCGCGAUUGAAUGAGCCGAUGUCGGAUUAGCUAGUUGGCGGGGUAAAGGCCCACCAAGGCGACGAUCCGUAGCUGGUCUGAGAGGAUGAUCAGCCACACUGGAACUGAGACACGGUCCAGACUCCUACGGGAGGCAGCAGUGGGGAAUAUUGGACAAUGGGCGCAAGCCUGAUCCAGCCAUACCGCGUGGGUGAAGAAGGCCUUCGGGUUGUAAAGCCCUUUUGUUGGGAAAGAAAAGCAGCAGGUUAAUACCCCGCUGUUCUGACGGUACCCAAAGAAUAAGCACCGGCUAACUUCGUG
rnacentral:rRNA from 1 species